rnacentral:rRNA from 1 species
GACGAACGCUGGCGGCGUGCUUAACACAUGCAAGUCGAACGAUGAAGCCGGAGCUUGCUCUGGUGAAUUAGUGGCGAACGGGUGAGUAACACGUGAGUAACCUGCCCUUGACUCUGGGAUAACUGCGGGAAACUGUAGCUAAUACCGGAUACGACCCUCGGAGGCAUCUCCUGGGGGUGGAAAGAAUUUCGGUCAAGGAUGGACUCGCGGCCUAUCAGCUAGUUGGUGAGGUAAAGGCUCACCAAGGCGACGACGGGUAGCCGGCCUGAGAGGGUGACCGGCCACACUGGGACUGAGACACGGCCCAGACUCCUGCGGGAGGCAGCAGUGGGGAAUAUUGCACAAUGGGCGCAAGCCUGAUGCAGCAACGCCGCGUGAGGGAUGACGGCCUUCGGGUUGUAAACCUCUUUUAGCAGGGAAGAAGCGAAAGUGACGGUACCUGCAGAAAAAGCACCGGCUGACUACGUGCCAGCCGCCGCGGUAA